rnacentral:rRNA from 1 species
UACGGAGGGUGCAAGCGUUAAUCGGAAUUACUGGGCGUAAAGCGCACGCAGGUGGCUGAGUCAGUCGAUUGUGAAAGCCCUGGGCUUAACCUGGGAAUUGCAGUCGAUACUACUCAGCUAGAGUAUGGGAGAGGGUAGUGGAAUUCCCGGUGUAGCGGUGAAAUGCGUAGAUAUCGGGAGGAACAUCAGUGGCGAAGGCGGCUUCCUGGCCCAAUACUGACACUCAGGUGCGACAGCGUGGGGAGCAAACAGG